AGCAGCCGCGGUAAUUCCAGCUCCAAUAGCGUAUAUUAAAGUUGCUGCAGUUAAAAAGCUCGUAGUUGAAUUUCGGGACUAAUAUGUCGGUCGUGCCUCGGUACGUACUGGCUUAUUGGUUUCUCCUUUCUGAAGAACCAUGAUGUCAUUUAUUUGGUGUCGUGGGGAAUCAGGACUGUUACUUUGAAAAAUUAGAGUGUUUAAAGCAGGCUUACGCUUGAAUACAUUAGCAUGGAAUAAUGAAAUAGGACGUUUGAUUCUAUUUUGUUGGUUUCUAGGAUCGACGUAAUGAUUAAUAGGGAUAGUUGGGGGCAUUAGUAUUCAAUUGUCAGAGGUGAAAUUCUUGGAUUUAUUGAAGACUAACUACUGCGAAAGCAUUUGCCAAGGAUGUUUUCAUUAAUCAAGAACGAAAGUUAGGGGAUCGAAGACGAUCAGAUACCGUCGUAGUCUUAACCAUAAACUAUGCCGACUAGGGAUCGGAUGAUGUUAAUUUUUAAUGACUCAUUCGGCGCCUUACGGG
rnacentral:misc_RNA from 1 species